GGAAGGAUCAUUAACGAAUAUAAUUCGAGGGGUUGUCGCUGGCCUCGCUCGCGCGAGGCAUGUGCACGCUUCUCGUUUUUCUCUCAACUCACCUGUGCACCUAAUGUAGGAUGCCUCUCCUCCGGGAGGGGGGACCUAUGUCUUCGUAACAUCUUCGUGUAGAAAGUCUUUGAAUGUUUACUAUCAUCGAGUCGCGACUUCUAGGAGACGCGAUUCUUUGAGAUAAAAGUUAUUACAACUUUCAGCAACGGAUCUCUUGGCUCUCGCAUCGAUGAAGAACGCAGCGAAAAGCGAUAUGUAAUGUGAAUUGCAGAUCUACAGUGAAUCAUCGAAUCUUUGAACGCACCUUGCGCUCCUCGGUGUUCCGAGGAGCAUGCCUGUUUGAGUGUCAGUAAAUUCUCAACCCCUCUCGAUUAGCUUYGAGAGGGWGCUUGGAUAGUGGAGGUUGCCGGAGACUUGGAUUCGUCCGAGACUCGGGCUCUUCUGAAAUGCAUCGGCUUGCGGUCGACUUUCGACUAUGYGCGACAAGGCUUUCGGCGUGAUAAUGAUCGCCGUUCGCUGAAGCGCAUGACUGAAYGUCCCGUGCCUCUAAUAYGUCGACCGCUUAUUAUCUCUCCGGAGAGAACAGGGUCUUCCUUAUUGACUUUUGACCUCAAAUCAGGUAGGACUACCCGCUGAACUUAAGCAUAUCAAUAAGCGGAGGAAAAGAAACUAACAAGGAUUCCCCUAGUAACUGCGAGUGAAGAGGGAAAAGCUCAAAUUUUGAAUCUGGCGGUCUUUAGGCCGUCCGAGUUGUAAUCUAGAGAAGCG
rnacentral:rRNA from 1 species